rnacentral:rRNA from 1 species
CUACGUGCCAGCAGCCGCGGUAAUACGUAGGGCGCGAGCGUUGUCCGGAAUUAUUGGGCGUAAAGAGCUUGUAGGCGGUUUGUCGCGUCUGCUGUGAAAGGCCGGAGCUUAACUCCGUGUAUUGCAGUGGGUACGGGCAGACUAGAGUGCAGUAGGGGAGACUGGAAUUCCUGGUGUAGCGGUGGAAUGCGCAGAUAUCAGGAGGAACACCGAUGGCGAAGGCAGGUCUCUGGGCUGUAACUGACGCUGAGAAGCGAAAGCAUGGGGAGCGAACAGGAUUAGAUACCCUGGUAGUCCAUGCCGUAAACGUUGGGCACUAGGUGUGGGGGACAUACCACGUUUUCCGCGCCGUAGCUAACGCAUUAAGUGCCCCGCCUGGGGAGUACGGCCGCAAGGCUAAAACUCAAAGAAAUUGACGGGGGCCCGCACAAGCGGCGGAGCAUGCGGAUUAAUUCGAUGCAACGCGAAGAACCUUACCAAGGCUU